UAUUGGUGAUGAUGCUAAGGCUGUUUUGGUACGAUCCUCUCCUAGUCUCCUACCACGAAUCAGGGAAUCAUACAGAAGCAUGUAAUCCACUCAAAGCAAUUUUUUUUAACGAGAGAGAAUAAAGCUGUUUACCCACAGGAGCGUUCUCGCAUUCAAAAGGUUUCUCUCUAUGAUGAGCAAGACAGUGAUAUCCCAUUAGUCUUCACUUGGAAAUUCUAACAAAAGUGAUUUAUUCCAGUUUGGUGUCAUUGCAACAUUCAUGCGUUUGAAUUGACUGAGAGAGAAAACUUCAUGAUUCUUGGUUGUGAUGGAUUGUGGGAAUUUUCAGGUCUUUGGACCAAGUGAUGCUGUUGGAUUUGUUCAGAAACUCUUGAAGGACGGGUUGCCCACAAGCACAAUCAGUCGUCGCCUUGUAAACGAAGUUGUGAAGGAACGUUGUUGCAAAGACAAUUGCAAAAUAAAAGCCAGCG